rnacentral:pre_miRNA from 1 species
GUACUACUCCCUCCGUCCGGAAAUACUUGUCAUCAAAAUGAAUAAAAGGGGAUGUAUCUAGAUGUAUUUUAGUUCUAAAUACAUCUUUUUUAUUCAUUUUGAUGACAACUAUUUUCAGACGGAGGGAGUACUAG